rnacentral:rRNA from 1 species
UACGUAGGGGGCAAGCGUUGUCCGGAAUCAUUGGGCGUAAAGAGCGUGUAGGCGGCCAGAUAAGUCCGCUGUGAAAUCUCGAGGCUCAACUUCGAGCUGUCGGUGGAAACUGUCUGGCUAGAGUCCGGAAGAGGAGAGUGGAAUUCCUGGUGUAGCGGUGAAAUGCGCAGAUAUCAGGAAGAACACCCGUGGCGAAGGCGGUUCUCUGGGACGGUACUGACGCUGAGGCGCGAAAGCGUGGGGAGCGAACAGG